GACGAACGCUGGCGGCGUGCCUAACACAUGCAAGUCGAGCGGAGUCAGUAAGAGGAAGUUUUCGGAUGGAAUCUUAUUGAUUUAGCGGCGGACGGGUGAGUAACGCGUGAGCGACCAACCUUGCACAGGGGGAUACGGACCGAAACGGUCCCUAAAACCGCAUGAGACCACGGUGUUGCAUGACACAGAGGUAAAAGGAGGAAGCCGGUGCAAGACGGGCUCGCGUCCGAUUAGGUAGUUGGAGGGGGAACGGCCCACCAAGCCUAUGAUCGGUAGCCGACCUGAGAGGGUGAUCGGCCACAUUGGAACUGAGAUACGGUCCAAACUCCUACGGGAGGCAGCAGUGGGGAAUAUUGGGCAAUGGGCGAAACCCUGACCCAGCAACGCCGCGUGAAGGAAGAAGGUUUUCGGAUUGUAAACUUCUGUCCUUGGUGAAGAGAAGAAGACGGUAGCCAAGGAGGAAGCCCCGGCUAACUACGUGCCAGCCGCCGCAGUAA
rnacentral:rRNA from 1 species